UGUUUUUUUUUACUUCCUGGAAGACCAGGCCUUGGGGGGCAACCUGAGGCCGUCGCCUAUUUUUUUUGUGCACCCGUGGACGUCACAUAAAGGGCUGUCCAUUUGCCAUGUGAAAUUUCUCAACCAUAUGGCAAUGUUAAUUCAUGACUAGUAUAGGGAAGCACUCUUAUCAGGCACCUUGACUAACUGUGGUGUGUGUGUGUGUGUGUGUGUCAAGGAUGGCUUGGCGUUCAGGAUACAGGUAGCUUACCACCGGGAGCCACGUCCUGAGGGAGAGUGUGUCCAGAAGGACUCCUUAUCAUCAGGGACAACAAGGAGGCUCAAGCCCUGGAGAUGGCAACCAUACACCGGCCCCUACUCACCUGCAUGGGUCAGGCACUACCUUUACACUGGAGCGCUCCUUCUAUCAGCUAACAUUAGCUCUACAUAUUCUCUCUCCACAUCACUCCCUUUCAGCUAACACUUUAGCUUUACACAUUUUUACUCUCUCUCGCACUCAAACGAACACACGCAUCUUAAUGUUUGUGGUUGUGUGUUCUAGGCUCUAGCAACUCCACCCAUACUUUGGGGCGGUGUGUCGCCUGCUCAAGCGCUGGCUGGGACCUCUUCAGUGAUGACAUAAGAGGACACUGCUGACCUGCUGGUGGCGUCCCUCUUCCUGCAGCCGUCCGCCUUCACUCCUCCAGGGUAAUUAGCUACCUGCAUAUCAGUCUAUCGCUGACCCUUUCCCUCUCUCUCUCUCUCUCUCUCUCUCUCCCUCGUCACCCUCAUGUACCACAUGACUGAUACAACCCCUCUCUCUCCCUCUUUUCUCUUUGUUCAUCUACCCCUUCUUUCUCUCGUUCUUGCUGUCUCUUGCUCACUCUUGUCUCACCUGUUCUCUUGCUUUCUUUCUCUUGUUCUCCAUGUCUCUUUCUCUUCCGGUCUCUUUCUCUCAGGUCUCCUCCUUCGCUUCCUCCACCUGCUCUCCUCCCUUCGACUGGAGAAACAACCCCCGGUGGUCAACCUCAACAACCAGCUCACCGGGGCUGACGACACUGAGAUCAAGAAUGACUUCAUCUCCAGAGUUUCUGCCUGUCAUGUUCGUUGCCACGCCCAAAGACAAGACGCUGUCAAUCUGGACCAAAUAGGCUCCAUCUGGACAGGUUAGAACACGGACACACAUCCAGUAUAGUCACUAGUACAGUCAUCCAAUAGCAUUGUACACAACAGCCCAUUGUACACAACAUAGUAACAGACUCAGACUUGAAAGAGAAGAAAUAGAAUACAAACUUGUAUCAAAUGAUUGAACUGCGGUGUACUAACUCUCACACUGUCAAAGGCCGGCAAAAAAAAUAAAAAAUCCCGUCUGUGUAUUGAGUAGUUUCGUCAAGGCUCUAAAGUGCGACCAUUUUGGUCGCAUAUGCAUCUAAAUAUUUUGCUGUGCUACCUACAAUUGCAAUUUUGGAGCACCAGUGCACCUACAAGAGAAAUUACUCAGAUAAGAUUUUUUUCUAAUAAUUAUACUUCACUCUACUGUUGUUUUCCAAGUGCCCUAGAGAAACGAUUGAGUGAAUAUUCGUUAGCAUCAUGGUUGUACCAUUUUUACAAUAGCAUUUUUUAAAAUUGUUUCUAGCCCUAGCAGUCCAGAAGAUAUGACCCAAAUUACCCGCACAACAUUUUUUUCCUUCCUAUAGCGGAUUAGAUGUCUGCGUUUUUACUUUCAUAAACAUGUCUCGGGCCAUUCUUAAGCUACUCGUGGGCCAUUCAUUUACGCCUUGUUCAGUCAUGUUACCUCAUUAGCUAGCUAGCUAACAACCGGAUAACUUUACCAGUAUAUUCAAACAUUUGGGGGCACAGAAAGAAAGAAAAAGGGCUAUAUAUUUUUCAGGAGAUCAAUGAUCAUAGUAAUGAAUGACGGAUCUCUUGCAUGUCAUCACACACAAUGUUCUUAAAGGGAUAGUUCACCCAAAUUGCAAAAUGAAUCAUUGGUUUCCUUAUCCUAAAGUUUUAGCAUUUCUGGCACAAAUCCCAUUUAAGUCAUGGGACCGAUAUGACAUUUUUUCGCGCGUCAUGUCCAAAUCAUCCGAAAGUAUCUCAAAUCGAAGCUCAACAAAGUAACUAGUAGAUGAUUUGAACUUGUAACAUGCUAGCAUCAUUCCUCUGACUUUAAUGGGAUUUGUGCCACGAAUGCUAAACCGUUAGCAUGUGGAAACAGUGCCAGGGGAAACUGGAUGCUGUCAUACCUUGUCCAAAGACCGCUUACAGGGUAAGGAAACCAAUGUAAUUUGGGUGAACUACAAUUGUCCAUGCAAUGCAUCUGUCACACCCUGACCUUAAUAUUCUUUGUUUUCCUUGUUAUUUUGGUUAGGUCAGGGUGUGACAUGGGUGAUGUAUGUGUUUUUGUCUUGUUUAGGGGUUUUGUAUGUUUAUGGGGCUGUUUCCUUUCUAGGUAAAUUGUAUGUCUAUGGUUGCCUAGAUUGGUUCUCAAUUAGAGGCAGCUGUCUAUCGUUGUCUCUGAUUGGGAACCAUAUUCAGGCAGCCAUAUUCUGUGGGUACUUUGUGGGUGAUUGUCUAUGUUAGUUGCUUGUGUCAGCACAGUUCUUAUUAUAGAUUCACGGUCGUUAUUCGUUUAUUGUUUUUGUAUUGAGUGUUCAGUGCUUUCUUUAAUUAAAACAUCAUCAUGAACACAUACCACGCUGCAUUUUGGUCUGCUUCUUACGACGAUCGUGACAGCAUCUCAACAAGAAAAUUGUGAUUUUAUACAAUGUUGAAACCUAAUAUUCUACAAAUGCCAUUUUAGCUUUUUAUAAUUAACAAAUGCAUUUACAGGUUUACAUAUUAGUUUCUAGGGCACAACAUGUGCUUCAGAAGUAUCUAGAAUACAUGUAGGCCAAAUACAGGCUAUAGCAACCGUUCCAUGUUAAAUUCUUUACAAAUAUUUCCGGUGCUCCUAACUUUUAGAAGUUGGGAGCACCAGUUUUACCAAUGAUUUUUUUUACAUUUAGAGCUGUAACUAUAGUAAGUCUAAAAGUAGAGGUGCCAUCAUAAACAGCGGAGUAUAAAUGAAUUACAUGGUCUUGUUAGUCGGCAGUCAGUUUCCCUAUCCUUGGACCCUUCCUCAAGGCACACCGCUCUCCUGCGUCACACUUUGAGGGUCCACACAUAUCGUUAUCACUAUUACUACUUAGUAAAAAUGGUAAAGGUAGAAAGGAUGUAUCUCACUCACCAUAGGCAACUGGCUGUUUCUUUUCAUGAUACGGACCCCUAUUGCUUUUUAACUUUUCAAGCAUCUCUUAUAAAUCACUCAUCUGUAAUGCCAUACACAUUCCGUUUGUGACGUUAUAUCACCAAUACAAUAUUACAUUAAUUCAAAAUGGCAUUAAGAAUAUUUUUUUCUCAAUUUCUGCUGUUAUAGACAUACAAUGGAUAUGGCUUAUAUAACAAUAAAAAGUUAAUUUAAUGCUCACCAAUUUGCUUUUUGUCCCUGUCCACUUCAGUUGAAGAUAUUUUUUUCAUGUCUGCUGUUUGAUAGAGUACGUUGAGAAAUACGGCAGCACACCGCAACAUGGGGUGAUAAAGCCGGCAGCUUCUCAUCUCAUUUAGCUUGCCAGCUCCACCUCAACCACUUGAUUACAAUGCUCAAACUAGCUGUUCUCCAGACCUGGCAUCUUUUUAUGUGUUUCUGUCAAAGAGCUUUGAAUUCAAUAGUCCUACCUUGUGACGUGCAGAAGAAGCAUCAUAAACGAACAUGUUCAUGUGCCUGAGGAAGAACUUGUGCGUUUGCGCCAUCUGCCACUUUCACAUUGAUGGCAAAUGUGCACUUUCAUUUUGGAGCACUGCAGUGCACCCACAGUGAAUGAGACCGAAACA
rnacentral:lncRNA from 1 species